CACGGCACUGCCGAACGGCCGCGCACAGCGCACCGCAGCGAGGGCCCGGGACCGUGCGGGCCGCGGAGGACAGAGCAGCCGUGAGGAGAGGCAGCGGGGCCGGCUGAUGGAGCUUUUAAUUGGGGGCGGGAGGGGGGGGAGUGGGAGGGAAAGGAAAGGAAGGUCCUCUGGAAAUAUCUUCCGGGAUUAGAACGAGGAGCGCUGGACUCCCAUCUCGAUGCGGCCCUGUAGGAAAGCGCUGCGGGGACCGCGAAAAAGCUGCUCGGAAGGACCCACGGGGCUGAAAACGGGGAUUGGAAAAGAAAAAAAAAAAAAAGUAGAUGGUGUGUGUGACAAAAAAAGCUGGGUGAUUCUGUUUUCUCAUGCCCUCGCUCCUCCACCAGCUGCACAGCCAAGCGCAGGCUGCUUGGCCCUUAUAACUAUCUUGGCACGGAGUCAAAAGCUGAUAAGCAUUUGGGCGAGACAGCUCAACUGCUGUGCUGGAAGAAAAACAGCUGCCAUGAUUUCUGUUUGAUUGAGAGCGCUUACACACACGCACAAAAAACACAUCGGGCUGCAGAGACGGGCCACGAAUGCCUGAGGAUUCAGCUUCAGAAGAGCAAUGCACGUUUCCUUAAGGGAAAGAAAAAAAAAAAAAAAGUUUUAUGCAGUUUUGCCUCCGUUCCUCCUCCCCUUUUUAAGGAAAAUGUACUGCGUAGACUCGCUCCUCUCCUUCCCAUCCCCCUCCAUAACCUCAAGCAAACUCGAGGAAUUGUGCCAAAAGUCCCGUUGCUAGUUACUGAGUGCGUUUUUUUCAAACGUCCCUUUGAUACUUCUUCCCCUUGUGCUUGCCAUGGAAUAUGCAACUCUGUAAGAAUGUCACACAAGAGGCAGCGCUAUCCCAGCUGGAUAAUUCAUGAGCCGAAAGCAGAGAACGCCAUUUUGAGGCUGUCACACAUUUCUGUGUCCAAAGUGGAUAACGCCUGCGGAAAGCAUAAGAAUGAUAUUCUCAUGCUGCAGAAAAAGUAGGAAGAGAGGGAAAGAGACUAUCAUCAGGAAAACUGAAAGGAAGAUGCCUCUGUAGCAUGCACAUGCCGCCAGGAAGCAUGAGGUUUAGCCCAGAGGGCUCACAAAUAAAAGGAACUUCCAGACUACGUGUUGGCAUCAAGAUGAGUGACAUGCCCACUGCAGGUAGGUGAAUGACUGGCACUCAGGACAACUCCCUGCAUUUCUCACCUCUCCACUUCUUUGUCUAGAAUGUAUGAAACUAAUCACACAGUUUCCAGUGACUGCUAUUCCUCAAAAUCUAGAAGAAAAAUAUUGGGCUUUUUAAUGCACCAAGGGUCAAAGAAAGAACACUGGAGUUGGAAAGUACUGACAGACAACUAAGUUUAAAAAAGUCAAUGUCCUUAGCAAAACAAGCUCUUAGGGAAAAAAAAAAAAAAAUCUACAACAGGUAUUUAAAAUAACCUACUGGGAAAUCCAGUAACACAUUGUCUCGUUGCAUGUUUAUCAGAUCUUCCCAUUGACUUAAAUGGGAACACUCUGCUUUUAUGCAUGAAAGAUUAUGCAGGCAUAGAGUAUCGGUUCAAAAUAAAGGGAAACAAUCUCUAAACACAGAAGAAGUACGUGGACAAGGGCAAACUGGGUACUGAGAAAAACUUUACAUAUGUCAAGGCAAAGAGGUACCUUUUUUCAAAAACAAAAAGCACUGAACUGAAAUUAAUAGAACUAAGAAUGUACUUACAAAGUAGUAUUUAAAACUGGGAUUAGAAGCAUAAGGACUGAACCAAGGAAUCAAAGACAUAAGACAAUUUAUUGACAUACAGUAAAAGCAAGAAGACUGCACAACAGUUGUCUGGUAGGUUUGAAAUAGUAUUGGGGGAAAAAAAGGAGUGAAUAAAGAGGAAGAAAAACUGCAACAAAGAUAAUGGCUGAUUAUGACCUUGAGGUCUUUAGUCAUGCAAAAGAGUGAACUCAACUUUUCAUAUAUAUGGCCACGUUAACAUUUCUUGAUAGCUGGGUUCCUGAUGAGAGCUAUAUUAAGAAAAAAACAAACAAAAAUCUCUACAACCACUAACCCUCCUGAAGAAAUGCAAGACUAUACACCUCCUUCAGCCUGCAUGUCCUUCAUUCUCCAGUUCUUUUUCUUUCACUCCAGCCAAUGUAUGUAAAUCCAAAAUGGGAAGUAAAACCACCCUACAAGAAGUUAUGGAAUAAGACGUUUCUUCUCUUGGAACAGGAAAACAGCUGGAGGAAAUGUCACUCUGUGACACAAAGUUCUUGCACAGAUCAAUUUUUUUCUGGGUGGAACAAUACUGACCACUCCUCUCAAUGUCCAGAAAUCCAAACAGACUGAGAGGCAGCCUUUAUCUUAAAAAGAACAACUUCUUUUUAGGCCUAGAGCAGGUGGAAACCAUUGAAAAAGGUUUGUACUAACAAAGUGAUUAAAUUGUAUUUUCUGAACCCGGCAGAUUACAUCUCGUUAAUCUCUUCUUCUGCAAGUAAAGGGCAAGAGAGCAGCAGAUAAGAAAACAGAAAGUGCAGAAAUAACUGGAGAAACUAAAAGACAAGACAGGCUGCUCAAGAUUAAAAUCAGCGUUUCCAACCAAAAGAAAAUGCAUUCUUCUAUCUGGAAUGAAAGAGUGGUACUCCUUAAAUAGCCACAGAAAUAGUCCACAUUACAUGCCAAUGAAUUCUAGCAUUUAAUAAAAUGGUUGGAAGGCUACUUGAAAAUAUGUUAACCUGAAUGUCUAAGAAGAGGUUACAGAAUGGGGAGAAAAACAAUACAGCUAACGUAAUGAAAAAUACAUCUUUUUAUAUUGGAGUGGAUCUGCAGGUGAAAUUAUUAUUUACUUGGCCAUUCAAAAGGGCUUUGAUAGUGACUCAAAGAUCAUAAAGAAAACAGAGCAAUUGUGACCAAAAUUUAGGCUCAUGAUUAAAAAUGAGCUAAGUAGCCCAAAGCAAAAUGUAGGGAUAAAAAAGGCACUUAAGAAGAAAAAGAUUAACAGUAAUUGUAUGCAGAAGUUACACUUGCAUCAGCUUUUAACAUUAUUUAGUAGUCUGGGAAAAAUUAAUUGUAAAACAAAGUGGCAAAAUUGACACUUGGAGUGUAUUUGGAUUACUGAAGAAAUUUAACAAAGUUAAACGAGUAUGAAACAACAUGAUAAAUACUUAUUGGUAAUUAUUAAGUAAGUUGCAUAGCAACAUUCUCAGCAAAGGAAAAAGAUCGGGGUGCCAUCACAACAAUUCAACAGUACUGUCAAAAAAAAAGACAAUUUUAACAGCACAUGCAAAAAAGCACAGAAACUAUGCUUCCAGUGGGUACCUGACUGGGAAAUACCUUCAAGAAGAAUGCUGUCUACAGUUCUUUUUACCUUACCUCAUUAAAACCACAGAACAUGAGUGUAAGGGCAGGUGACCAAAACGAUCUGGCUCUCGAGACGAUUGCCAUGUAACAUGACAAAGUGAUGAUGUUAUCAAGCACAUGAGCAACAGGGGACACGACAGAGAUGCACACUUUGAAAGUCAGAACUGUACUUUUUUACGUAUAGUGUUCAACAGGAGAGCACGCAGUAAAAUUAAAUGAGCAGCAUUAAAACUCUGGAAAUAUAUUACCUUACUAAGUGUAGGUAAGCAUGUGAAAAUCAGUGCCACAGUUCUUCAUUAAGGGACAUCAGUGAGACUUUGAAAGAAUACUGUUCUAUGCACAGCCUAUAGAAAUGUAACAUUAAAUAGGAUCGUUUGCUGGAAAUACCCUUGCACAAACCUGUAACAAAGCCAUUGGCCAAGGUAUCUGGCUGGACUAUUUUCUGACAAGGACAGGGUAUUCCAGAAGGAUCAAAUGCUGGUUGUUUUUGCCCUGCAUUUUCUUACCAACCAACCCUUUGUAAGAACGGUCUGGGUAGACUUAGCAUUAGACUGCAGAUCUAAUCCAGUGCAGUAAUUUCUACAUUUAAAUGUUUGCUAUGGUCAAAAACAAUGAUCCCCAAAACCUCUUCCCACCCCUACUACAAUGUGGUAAGAAUGAAAUAAUUUAUCCUCCAAGUUAGCUGCUGUGCCUGAUGCAAUGCUACCAAUGCAUUUCUCAAACUUCACAAAAAUACUUGGAAGCACAUAUUUUUUGCUACCUGCUUUUCCUCUCACCUUAAAUAAUUAGGAAGAACUUACAAGAUUCUGCUUCACAAUACAAAUGCGUUUCCUUAUUUUAUUAUCUUUUUUCCCCAUCCACACAUCGUUAUUUGUAAAACUCAUUUAAUAAUUCUGAGAGAUUCCAAGAUGUGUGUCAGAUGCUGGGAUAUUGCCACUUGUGUGGUGGUUUGCUACACUUACCCUUCAGUCUUGUGGCUAACAAUUCACCCAAAAUGUGAUAAUACCUCACCACAACCCACACGCUGCUGCUCUUCAAAGGAGAACAAGGAUACAUAAUUAUGAGAUGAUGAGCUCAAAUGUAAGACAGGAGAUGAGGGAACAGAUUCUGUAACCACACCUAUGAGUGGUUAAACUACUGAAGAAGUUUCUGCAGCUCCACUUUCACUCACAGCAUCAACAAAAGCCACGCAUUUUCAAAAUACUUAAAUAACAUUUGCUACAGGGGAGGAAUAAACACAGUGAUAAUACGUUGUCCCUGCAGAAGAAAAGAGGUUUAACAUCUAUUAAGAAUGUAAAUAAGUAUUAUCAACAAAUAGACCUUAUAGUCAGUGUAAGCAAGAUAUGCACACUUUUACUAGAAACACUGUCAAGAUCUCACUCCUCAAGAAUUUUUACUUUAAAAUAUUCUAAGUCUCAUUCCAACCUUUUGUGAUCAUGUAGUUUCACUCAUAACAGAAGGAACUGCAGAAGAAAAUAUCUAAGUGUAUCCAUGUCGAUGCAGGGGCUAACAGUGAAGCAUUCUGCACAGAAAUUAAGAACUGGUUACAGAUAGACUUUAGAGUCUACAAGAUCAGUCCCGUGGUGGAUAUUCUCAAUAAAGAAAACAUCAAAGCACUAUCCUUACUAGACUAAAAAUGUUGCAACUAGUUUUUGUGGGGUUUGUCAUGAUUAGUGAGUCAAGAAAUCUGGGGCAAAGCAAGACGCAAUUAAAGAUGCCAUCAAACUCAACAACUGUGAGAACUGACCAUCCUUUCAAAAUAUGCAUUAAUAUGAGAUUAAUGAGUAAGGAUUUAAAAAUAACAGGAUUACAUGCCUACUUGAUUUCUCAUUAUUAAAAAAUAAAAAUAAAAAAUCUCUUUUACCUAGGAGAAGUCUUCCUUCUGUGGGUUGAAGGAUCACAACCCCAAAGCCAGUCCCUGCAUGCACAGCCAACUUCUCUAAGCAGCAGCCACACCCUCCUCUUCCUCAUUUUUUUCCACUGACCAUGAAAUGCGUUCUAAGCCAGGCACUGAAAAAAAAAAGAAAAAAUAGAAAAAAAGAUCAUAAGUACAUUUUUAAUGGACACCAGAUACCACAUGGCUGAUUUAAUUAAGCAGAUUAGAAACAAAUAAGUAUAUUUAUACAAAUAUAUUUUGAUUUUCUGUUUCAUUUCAAACAAAUUUGGUAGGCCUGAUUUGGCUCUAUUCAAAUCACAAGAAACAUCAUUAAGAACAUUCUGUGCUGACAGUAGAAUCAAGCCCUCUUCUCUUUUUAGAAUGUCAUAUUUUACCUAUUCCACUGCUACUGUAAAAACAACAAAUGAGAGGGUUUUCAGAAUAUCCCGGAAUAAGCCUACGGACUUCGUAAUAGAAACUAAAACAGGACAAGCUUUGACAGAUGUUCCAGAGGUACUCUCUUCAAUGAAUUGGAUUACUGUAUCUUCAACAGAAUAAUACUGCAUUAUCACUCAACAUGUACUUACUGUUGUUAUAUUUUACACAAUUUACAUCAUCAAUAAUUUCACAGUACAUAGAACAUUAUAGAAAUCGACUGUUGUUAUAAACAGUUUUGCACACUGUAUCACCUGCUGACUUUAAUUCAUUAUUUAAACGACACUAAUUACACUACAUUUCAUAUUCUAUGGCUAAAUAGAAUAUUGAAUAGAAAUACAGAGUGAUAAGAACACUUUUUUCCAGUACCUCAAAAAAACAAACAAAAAACAACCCAGAACAACAGCCACCACUCUCCCCCUGAAAAGAAAAGUAAGGAAAAAGAAAAGAAAAGGAAAAAGAAACCCAGCAACACCCUUCUUUACAAGUUACUAGUUAUGGGAUUCAACAACAAAGCAAAAAUACAUACGUAGGGGUAAGCAACUUAAUCUCAAUUUUUGCAACAACUGCACAAAGGUACUACUGUUCAGCUCUCAUAAGGGCAGGGAAAUUACCAUUAAAGUUUUUGUUUGUUUUGUUUUUAAUUUAGAGCUAAAUAAUGUGACAGAAAUCUGCAGCUCAAUGCUAUUAUGUUUCUUGAAAGAACAAAUUGAUAUUAAAAUAAAAAUGUUAAGGUUAUAUUAAAUGAAUGCCUGAGGACGACAACAUUUUUGGUAUUACAGUUAUUAUAUAAUAGCAAGUCCAAAAUAAUUUAUAAUCCCACCACUUAACUUCUUAUUUAUUCAUUUAUGACUCCAUCAUCACAGAAGAAUACUCUUACGAACAUACUGUGCACUUUCAGUAUUAGAAGGGCUGUUCACAAAGGCAUUUUGCAUGCUCCUACAUCCUAAUAGGCUGCCAAUAUACAGCUUUGUAAAUCUCAAAGCCUGCACAACACAAGGUUAGAUACAGUACACUGGCUGUAUAUACAUUUGCACAUACAGUAAAAUACAACUAACUUGCAGAAUCAUAUCAACACUGCUGUGUUUAUAGACACGUUCAUUCAUGCAGAAAUCUUUUUCCUGCAUACUGCAGAGUAUUAGGCAAUAUGUGUACCUCUCACCAUAACGGAACACUCUGGUACACAACACUGACUUU
ensembl:lncRNA